GUCAUAACGGCGACCGUGAAGACUUUUAAAAUAGAGACCAACAUGGCCGGGCAGGAAGAGCAGGGUCCCGCCUUCAGGUGUUUGGGACUCAGCUGAGGGUGUGGGUGCCCCGCGGUGGGGGCUGAACCUUCCUGGGGUGUGGAGAGACGAAAGGAGCCCAGAUCCAAGUUCCCUCGUUCCCGCUUUGGCACAAGUUGCCCUGGCGGUCUCAUGAGAGAGAGAGAGAGCUGGGACCCUCCUCGCCCCAGUGAGUGUGAUGUCUUGCUCCGGGUGUCCUGGGGCAACUUUCUAUAAAGGCGGGACGUGGGAGGAUCAGACAGUGUAACAUCAGACAAGGGUGUUGACUCUGCAGCACAGAACCAGUAGUUUGUGGAGAAGAAUGAGGUGUGGUGUUGAAUCUGCUAGACAGGCUACUGAAGCAAAAGUCAAGAGAUCCAGAUCCCAUCAUGGGGACACUUUAG
rnacentral:lncRNA from 1 species